UACGUAGGGGGCGAGCGUUGUCCGGAAUUAUUGGGCGUAAAGAGCUCGUAGGCGGUCUGUCGCGUCGAUCGUGAAAACUUGGGGCUUAACCCUGAGCUUGCGGUCGAUACGGGCAUGACUGGAGUUCGGCAGGGGAGACUGGAAUUCCUGGUGUAGCGGUGAAAUGCGCAGAUAUCAGGAGGAACACCGAUGGCGAAGGCAGGUCUCUGGGCCGAUACUGACGCUGAGGAGCGAAAGCGUGGGGAGCGAACAGG
rnacentral:rRNA from 1 species